rnacentral:tRNA from 1 species
UCCCUGGUGGUCCAGUGGUUAGAACUCUGUGCUUCCACUGCAGGGGCAUGGGUUCAAUCCCUGGUUGGGGAA